AUUGAACGCUGGCGGCAGGCCUAACACAUGCAAGUCGAGCGGAUGAAGAGAGCUUGCUCUCUGAUUCAGCGGCGGACGGGUGAGUAAUGCCUAGGAAUCUGCCCUGGUAGUGGGGGACAACGUUUCGAAAGGAACGCUAAUACCGCAUACGUCCUACGGGAGAAAGCAGGGGACCUUCGGGCCUUGCGCUAUCAGAUGAGCCUAGGUCGGAUUAGCUAGUUGGUGAGGUAAUGGCUCACCAAAGGCGACGAUCCGUAACUGGUCUGAGAGAUGAUCAGUCACACUGGAACUGAGACACGGUCCAGACUCCUACGGGAGGCAGCAGUGGGAAUAUUGGACAAUGGGCGAAAGCCUGAUCCAGCAAUGCCGCGUGAGUG
rnacentral:rRNA from 1 species